CUGCGGUAUUUUGACCGUACUAAGGUAGCAUAAUCAUUAGUUUUUUAAUUGAAAGCUAGAAUGAAGGGUUUGAUGAGAAUUAGCUGUCUCUAUUUUAAUUAGUGUAAAUUUUAUUUUUAAGUUAAAAAGCUUAAAUUUUAUUAUAAGACGAGAAGACCCUAUAGAGUUUUAUAAAUUAAACUAUUUUUAAAUUUAGAAUUUAGUUUAAAAUUUUUUAUUUUAUUUAAUUGGGGUGAUUGAAAAAUUUAAUAAACUUUUUUUUUAUAUUAAUAUAUUUAUAUAAAUAAUUGAUCCAAUAUAAUUGAUUAUAAGAUAAAGUUACCUUAGGGAUAACAGCGUAAUUUUAUUGGAGAGUU
rnacentral:rRNA from 1 species